rnacentral:sRNA from 1 species
GGCAGUUGUGGGAUUUCCGGCUUUCCUGUGGGAGAGACGCGAGAUGGAUACUGGUAUUUGGUUGAGCCCUUUCAAACAGCUUGAGAUAUGAACUAAGUUAUUAAUAGUGGAAUUGCAGCCAGAUUUAUCUUUGCAUCCCAGCGGCUCACCAAUCCCGUUGGAAGAGAGUUACUCAGGAUUUCUUCUCAAACUAUAAGUUACAGGGUGUGCAGAAUUGAAAUUGGAGGUACGAAUCCGAAAUAGGUCCAAAUUCAUUGGGUUAUUGGGAACUAUUUCAUACAAUCAAUUGGGAGAUAUAAGAAUUCCUCAAAACUGUAAAUUAUUCGGAUAAAUAACUAUUCCUGCACCUCCGAUUGAAAACCAACCUUUGUUCCAUCUUCCAACAAGAAUCUCAACUGCAUUAUUUUUCCUUUCUUCUCCAUGGCCUUUUAACACCAUGCGGUUUCUUACUUGCGUACCGAACGGAUAUCCCAACUUUGCAAUCAGCCGGACCUGUGUGUAUCGCUCUCUACAUACCAAGCAGGCUGAAUUCAUCAUCCUUGAUCAUAAAAGGGCCCCUGAUGACUCAGAAUGUCAAUGCUGAUUUGGGGCAUGCACUCAUAUGAGGCUUUCACACUGCUUCCGAAAG